GUAGUCCAUGCCGUAAACGUUGGGCACUAGGUGUGGGGGACAUUCCACGUUUUCCGCGCCGUAGCUAACGCAUUAAGUGCCCCGCCUGGGGAGUACGGCCGCAAGGCUAAAACUCAAAGGAAUUGACGGGGGCCCGCACAAGCGGCGGAGCAUGCGGAUUAAUUCGAUGCAACGCGAAGAACCUUACCAAGGCUUGACAUUCACCGGAUCGUCCCAGAGAUGGGAUUUCCCUUCGGGGUCGGUGGACAGGUGGUGCAUGGUUGUCGUCAGCUCGUGUCGUGAGAUGUUGGGUUAAGUCCCGCAACGAGCGCAACCCUCGUUCUAUGUUGCCAGCACGUGAUGGUGGGGAC
rnacentral:rRNA from 1 species